UACGAAGGGGGCUAGCGUUGCUCGGAAUCACUGGGCGUAAAGCGCACGUAGGCGGCUUUUUAAGUCAGGGGUGAAAUCCUGGAGCUCAACUCCAGAACUGCCUUUGAUACUGGGAAGCUUGAGUCCGGGAGAGGUGAGUGGAACUCCGAGUGUAGAGGUGAAAUUCGUAGAUAUUCGGAAGAACACCAGUGGCGAAGGCGGCUCACUGGCCCGGUACUGACGCUGAGGCGCGAAAGCUAGGGGAGCAAACGGG
rnacentral:rRNA from 1 species